rnacentral:rRNA from 1 species
UACAGAGGGCGCGAGCGUUGUCCGGAAUCACUGGGCGUAAAGCGCGCGUAGGCGGAUCUGCAAGUCGGGGGUGAAAUCCCGAGGCUCAACCUCGGAACUGCCUUCGAUACUGCGGAUCUCGAGUCCGGGAGAGGUGAGUGGAAUUCCUAGUGUAGAGGUGAAAUUCGUAGAUAUUAGGAAGAACACCAGUGGCGAAGGCGGCUCACUGGCCCGGUACUGACGCUGAGGCGCGAAAGCGUGGGGAGCAAACAGG